rnacentral:lncRNA from 1 species
AUCAUCCCCAUUCAUCCAGGAAUCAAGUCCAUGGAGAUCGACGCCGAGAAGUGCACGCUGACGGUGGUCGGGACGGUCGACCCGGUGCGCAUGGUGCAGAGGCUCAAGAAGAAGUGCUUCGAGGCGACCAUCGUGAGCGUGGAGGACGACAAGCCCAAGGAGAAGAAGGACCCCUGCAAGGAGGCGUGCGAGAAGCUGUGCAAGGAGAAGUGCGACAAGAUCACCUGCUGCAAGGAGUGUAAGGACAAGUGCGAGAAGGAGUGCAAGGACAAGUGCGAGAAGGCCUGCGAGGCGUGGCUCGGCAAGGGCUGCUGCUCCUGCAGCCGCUGCAAGCCCAGCCCGGCCGGCUGCUACUACGACCCCUGCGCCGUGCGUAGCUACCCCUACGGCUACUACUACAACGGGUGCCCCAGCGGGUACCCCCCCUACUACGGCUGCUACGAAGAGAGGUCACAUGAAGGAGCGUGCACCAUCCAGUAGUGUUUUGUUCAGCAUGCAACUACUGCAUUCCAAAUGUGCGUGGAGUUGUCUUCCUACGGCACGUUUGUAUGGUUAUAAGAUCUCAACAUGUAUCUUUAGUUUGUGUUAUAAUUGUGUUUUUCAUUGAACUCCUACUAUAUAUAUAUGCAAAGAUGCUUGAGAUUUUGGAUGGCUUUCUCUCACUAAACGAAAGAUUUUAGAAAAGGAAAAUUUUAUUCUAGCCUCUGCAAGACUGUUGUACCCAAUCGUGUUGUUGUGGCUUUGUUUUAUAUAUAUAUAUAUAUAUAUAUAUAUAUAUAUAUAUAUAUAUAUAUAUAUAUAUAUAUAUGUGUGUGUGUGUGUGUGUGUGUGUGUGUGUGUGUGUGUGUGUGUGUGUGUGUGUGUGUGUGUGUGUGUGUGUGUGUGUGUGUGUGUGUGUGUGUGUGUGUGUGUGUGUGUGUGUGUCCUCUUUUUAUCUCUAAGGGUCUAUUUGGAUCUCAUGAAUUGAAACCAAUAUCUAGAGUCUAUUUUAUUAUUAGAUUAUUUUCAAAUUCCUCAUAAUUUAUGGGAACCAAACAAGGCCUAAAGAUAAUGGAUCACCAAAUUUGGCUCUGAUUGGUGUAGGAAGAUGAAUUGUACCGGUCGCGGAGAAUGGCUCAAACAUGCAUGUUAGCCAACGUUUCUUAUUUACUACUGGUUAAUUUAAAAAUUUGCUGAUUUUAUUAUCACGAAGAGAUGUAGCAAAAUUGACGAUAACACCACAAAUGCAUACAGGGAACAUAUGGUGGAUAUGUGCCCCUGUGUGAGUGAUGAGUGGGUUGUCAAGUGAGAUCGAAGCUUUGGUUAAGUGCACAUGAGACUAAUCAUGGCGUGAGCUAUAUGUGAAAUAUGUCUUUUGGCUUGUGAUGUGCAGUGCAGGUGUUGAGUGUUGAGAUAGUCGACGACAAUAGAAAAGGUCAAGUAAGAGUCUAUGCACACUAGGACCGAUGAAGGGUGGACGUGAAGGCUUGGCCAGAGAACUAAGGGUCAUAGGAUGAACCAUGGAUGAAUAGCACUUGGACAUGUUGACAAGCAAGCUAUUGUGCAUGUGAGGAUGGUGAUGAAGACGGUGUUGACCGAAGUCAAGAUGACAGUUGGACGAAGUCAACGCGAAUGCACGACCACUUGGUGAUCCGACGGUCAAGCACAAGCGAGACACGCAUCGACAUCAUGGACAAGGCGUAUCGCGAUCCAAGGGUUUGGCGGUUUGGGCCUCAAAACCGCUAGCGGUACGGUUUGCCGAAUUUGGAACUCAAAACCCCGGAGGAGGAUCUUAGAGUGGCUCAUGGCAUCAUUGGAAAGUUUGCGUUGAGGCAAAGUGACUUCAUGAAGACGUGAAGGGCGCGUGGCCACCGAUGCAUGAAAUCCAUGUUUUACCAUUUUGCCCCCACAGCUAAGUGGUUCAUGGCAAAUACUUAGGGAUAGUGUUGGAAUAUGUAAUAGCCUUAAAAAUAAGAAUAGUGGCUGCCCAAAACAGCCAUCUCUCCCACCUAAGUUCAUUUCCUUAGGCUAAACCAAGUAUAUCUUCCUUAGAGAAGAUUAGAAGUAGAGAGUGUGAGCAUAUCUUGCUCUAGAUUUCCACUUUCUAGAGGAGGAUGAAGAGAGGAGUCUAGACUUAAUCUUAUAAAGAUUUUUUCUUGAUGAAUCAAUCAAGUUGUCUUCUAAACUUUUGAGUUCAUCUUUUUAAUAUCUCUUUCUCCUAUUUUGGUUGAUUUUUGUGAUCCUUGUCGGAGUUCUUUGAUCUAAGGUUUUGGGGACAAUUCUGAGUUGAUCUUAUGGUGCUUUGACCCCCUAAGAACACUCCUAGCCACUGGUUCAAUCAGUUUUAGCACGACCACCAAGAAAUCAACUUUGUUUGAAACUAAAGCUUUGAUAUUUUGGAGUUUAAACUUUGCAAUGAUAUUUACUUCCUCAUAGAGAAGGUGUGUGCAAAAUUUCAAAUCAAUUGGACUUUGUUUGAUCGAGUUUUGCAUUUUUCUUCCUUGGUUUGGGCCGUAGAAAUUGCUUGACCAUGUUGUAGAACCGGUAUAGCCGAAUUUCACACAUGGUGUGUCUAGCCGUGUUGUAGAACCAGCCUGGCCGGAUUUCAUAGACUGUGGUGUGUUUGUCUCGGUCUCGUUUUUUACUCGUAUUGCUUCCGUGUUAUUUCUCUAGAUCAUCUUGACAUUUAUUGGCUUGUGUGAUCUAUGGUGUGUUUGUCUCGGUCUCGUUUUUUGCUCGUAUUGCUUCCGUGUUAUUUCUCUAACAUCUAUGAGCUUCUCUUGUGUGAUCUAUGGUUGAGGUAAGAAAGCACUCAAGGUUGGAUUUUUGGGAUAUAGGCAAGUUGGUUGAGGUAAGAAAGCACUCAAGGUUGAUUUUUGGGAUAUAGGCAAGUUGAUAUAGGCAAGUCGCGCAUUUUUUUGCGUAAAAUCGCACGCUACGUGUUGCUAGUGGGAUUCGAACCUGAGACCUCGCCCUCGUGCGUAACCUCAUCUACCGCUCCACCUAUAAGUCAGAUGUGUCUAUACUAGAGUUUAGUUCCCCACAUAUUAUCCUAAAUUGAGCAUACAUUGAUUAUUUGAGGCCCUAAACAUAUUCAAAUGGAAAAGUUGCCAACUACAAAGUUUUAUAACUUUUCAAGAUCUACAACUUUUAUAUUGGUAGUUUCUCCAUCCGAGGUCAUUUACAAAAUUUGAAUUUCAAAUUUGAGAAAUUCAAACGUUGUUUUCGACGACAAGAUGAUCUCAAAUGAAAAAAUUAUUAACUACAAAAUUUCAUAACUUUUCAAGAUCUACAACUUUCAUUUUGACAGUUUUUUCAAACGAGGUCAUUUGAAAAGCUCAAAAAAUUCAAUUUUAAAUUAUUUUUACAGGCGGUUUUCUUAAAUAACCGCCUGUAGAUAUAUGAUUUUUAGUGGUGGUUCCUUAUGACAACCGUUUGUAGAAAUGCAUGAUUUCUACAGGCAGUUUUCUUAAGCAACCGCCUGUAGAAAUACGAAUUUUAGUGACGGUUCCUUAAAAAAACCGCCUGUAAAAAUCCAUAAUUUCUACUGGCGGUUUUGUUAGAAAAACCGCCUGACACCGUCUUUUUUAUACCACAGGCGCGUGAUAACUAAAACCGUCUGUGGUAUAAAAAGGAGGCGUUGGCGUUAUAUUAUUUUCUACUAGUGUACGUGUAUGGUGUAAUAAAAAAAAUAGAGUACUUUUUUUUUUGUUACCACGACAGCUGCAAACGCUGAGCGGUGAGCGCGUGCGCUCUAUUAAUUACUGGUAGCAAGAAUACGCCUACCAUGUUCAAAGCAACCGGGCCUGAACUUCCUCUUUUUUUCCCCUUUGUACCAACAAGUCCUUCGAGUAAAACAGUAAAGUGAGACCAAGUGAACAGACUGAGAUUUUAAUUUGUUCCAAAUGUUCCCAAGUAUUCUGCUAGGGAAGGUGUUGCCAUCAACCAUCAUGAGUGUCACCUACCUCAGACCUCAGUGACCUGACGAAACAAUCAUAUAUAUAUAUACUAGCUCAUGCCGACUUCGCGAUGUAUUUUACAGUAAACGUUUGCUCGGGUUUUGGACGAACUCAAACUAAUAAAACAAACUUGUGGGCACUGGGCAGGUAUAUCCUCGAGAAAAUUAAAAGAAACCAACAGCCCAGUUACGUUGAUAAGCCAACCAUAUAUAAGCAGUGCAGGUGAGCUAAGCAAUAUAUAUUCUCCGGACCAGCCAAUGGCCUAAGCAGUGCAGGUGAGAUAAUCAGUGUAGUCUUGUCGAUCGAGUUGACUUCCAGAGCUGCAUGCCACCGAUAUAUGGAGCGCAUAGAAUUGAGCAGUGAUUAUGCACAGAGAGUUCAGUUCCAGCAGCAGCAGCAGAACCUCUUAUUAUCAGGACAAGCAAAUUAAAUCUAUCCAAGGGUGUCAUUGCCAUCACUCAUCAGCUCACCAAUGUCUAAUAAGGUUAAUUUGUGUGGCCACAUUUGUUUCUCCCGACGAUGUUGAUUCUGAAUUUCUGAUCACGAACCAUUUGUGCUGUCCAUUACUUGCAUCUUGCAGAAGAUAGUGGUCAAAGCUGACCUCGUCGGCAAGACAUGCAUGAGGGAUAUCCUGUCAGUUGCUGCGACGCUCCAAGGUACUACCACCCAUCCAUCUAUCUGUCUACCAAAGCAAUGCAAUGUACCAUCAUGCAGAUGCAUGCCUUCCAAGUUUCAACAAAUUUAAAACUAGCCUUGCACUGAAUGUCUGCUGCAGGGAUCAAGUCGAUGGACGUUGACGCCGAGAAGUGCACGCUGACGGUGGUCGGCACCGUCGACCCGGUGCGCAUCGCGCAGAAGCUCAAGAAGAAGUGCUUCUCCGUGAACAUCAUCAGCGUCGAAGACGACAAGCCCAAGCCCAAGCCCCCGGAACCGGAGAAGAAGAAGCCGCAGGACCCCUGCAAGGACGUGUGCGAGAACAAGUGCGACAAGAUCACCUGCUGCAAGGAGUGCAAGGAC